rnacentral:rRNA from 1 species
GGAGGAUCCGAGCGUUAUCCGGAUUUAUUGGGUUUAAAGGGAGCGUAGAUGGAUGUUUAAGUCAGUUGUGAAAGUUUGCGGCUCAACCGUAAAAUUGCAGUUGAUACUGGAUAUCUUGAGUGCAGUUGAGGCAGGCGGAAUUCGUGGUGUAGCGGUGAAAUGCAUAGAUAUCACGAAGAACCCCGAUUGCGAAGGCAGCCUGCUAAGCUGUAACUGACGUUGAGGCUCGAAAGUGUGGGUAUCAAACAGGAUUAGAUACCCUGGUAGUCCACACGGUAAACGAUGGAUACUCGCUGUUGGCGAUAUACUGUCAGCGGCCAAGCGAAAGCAUUAAGUAUCCCACCUGGGGAGU